AUUGAUGUAUUCAACGAGUCUAUAAUCUUGGCCAACAGGCUCGGAUAAUCUUUGAAAUUUCAUCGUGAUUGGGAUAAAUCAUUACAAUUGUUGGUCUUCAAU
rnacentral:rRNA from 1 species